CUGUAUCAGAAAGAAUGCAUUGGAUGGAUGCCCAGGCAUUGAGAGGAAAGGAUGCUUCCAAAGGCGAAAGUCCAUGGGGAGAUACCGUCUGUGAUCCAUGGAUCUCUGAUUGAGAAACCGUAUCCAAGCCCCAUGGCUAGUCCACACUCCUUGGACUUGAAAGACUUAGCGAACUGAAACAUAUAAGUAGCUAGAGGAAGGGGAAUCAACUGAUACCCCGUUAGUAGCAGCGAGCGAAAGAGGUUUGGGAAAAUACUAAGCAGUGGAGGUUUUCGUUUCGAUCUUGGUCUCAUUUUCCUAACCUUGCCUUCUCUACAUGAUUCAUUUCAGUUCAUUGGAUGAUGGAAGAACCAGGCAUGUCGAUGCUUUGCCCUUUGAUUUAGACUAUAAGGUAGGCAGAAUUGUGAAUGAAAAGGUUGGAAGCUCUGGCCAAAGCAGGUGAUAGCCCUGUAGAGAGUCCCAUGGUUCGAUUCUGUAAGUCAACGCAGUGUGUUUGAACUAGGAUCGCUUCUACGUGAGAAAGGGGUACCAUAUUCUAAGCCCAAGUAUUCCUCAAUGACCGAUAGCGUACAGGUAUAGUGAGGGAAAGGUGAAAAGAACCCUAGGAAAGGGAGUGCAAUAGAAAUAAAUCCGAUGCGAAUAAUUAGUCGAAGGAGAAAAGCUUCAGGUAAGAUUCUCAGGGUCUAAUAUGACCAGAAAGACCCUCUCUCUUUGGUCGAGCGACUCCAUCCCUCACCCAUGAUGGGUGAGCCAACUUCGUUCCUAUAUUUGUUUCAAAUACCUGAGCAGAGCUCAGGGCUGGGUUGACCUAGAUGCAGCUCACCCUAACGGCGUACCUUUUGCAUAAUGGGUCAGCGAGUAAAUGGGAGCAACGGCUUAAGCCAUUAGGUGUAGGCGAUUUCCAGCUAGGGAAUAUCCCAGUUGUGACUAUUUGACCCGAAACCAAUCGAUCUAUCCAUGAGCAGGUUGAAGAGAGCUCCAACAGACCUUGGAGGACCGAACCCACGUAUGUGGAAAAAUAUGGGGAUGACUUGUGGCUC
rnacentral:ncRNA from 1 species